UCACUUCACAUUAAUCGCCCAUUCCUUAUAUAGGACCUGCCGGUUUCGGCCGGCUAUGGCGAUAAACGACGGUGUGCAAUAGGCACAGCGGACCCGGGGGCAGUACCCGGCGGCUCCACCACAAGCCUCUGCGAAAGCAGGGGAUUCUGACGGGGCCGAACCAGGAUCGACGUGUGUUGAAAAGCGCUGACUUUUGCCCGGGAUGGGACCACCGUGACGGCCCGUACACAAGUGCCAACGAUAACGAGGCGCUCGCGAUUGCCGCGUAACUUCGAUCCUCACGGAUUGAGUUACUAAGGACAAAAGCGCGGUUGGGCCGCACCGGGCAACAGAAGCGGAUUCCAGCGGCCAGGGGGUGCCGGGCAACAGAAACCCCCACU
rnacentral:tmRNA from 1 species